CUUUUCUCUCUUACUACACCCCCCACUUUCUCUCACUCACUACCUCUCUUUCUGUUCCUUCUCUCUCUACUUGCUUCAAUUUUUUUCUCCAUUUUUUCUUCACUGUUUCCUCUCCAUUUCAACUUUCGCCGGCAUACUGAACUCUUUUCUGAAUUCCCGGCGAAUUCACAGCUACACUAGUUCGCCGGAGAAAAUAUCUUACUCUUUUUUACUAAUUUUCCAGCAAAAUCAAUGCGACCCAGAUUUUAGAAUCGCACUGUUAGAUCCUCCCUCGCCGCAAAAUCUUAUCUUUUCUAUUACUCCGGCGAACCCAAUACGACCCUGUUUACAGAACAUCACUCCGAGAGCCUCAUUCAACUGA